UCCAAGGCCAUGCAUGGUGUGGGUCAAGGGGAAGGCUAGAAAUAGAAUUCUCUUCGUAAAUCCAGGUCAACUUUUAUAUUCACUAGAAUACACUGAACUUACUGCAUUAAACGUUUACUUGUUUGUUUGACUGUAAAUGUUUUGUGUCACCAACGGUAUGAAAAUAACAGUGUUUAAGAUUUAAGAUAUUCUCCAAAUCAGAAGCUUGCAGGGCAGGAUGGGUGAAUUUUAGAUUGCUGCUUGAAAGCCCAAUAACCUAAGAAGACUGAGGUUCUUACAGGGAAUGACCUGUAUGAGUACGUGGUCUUCUCUCUGUUGUAAGAUUCAUUAUGAUAAAGGAGUAGUGCCUGGCAAUAAAGCUUAAACACUGUAGAGCAAAAUAGUGCAGAGUUGGGGCUGAGUUAGGACCAGGGCUAAGGAAUUUGGUCAUGACUACUACAAAGUGAUCCCUGAGGGGGAUUUCUGGCAAAACUCCUAGGAAAUCUCAAGUUGGCAUCUGAGUGGGGAGGUAGGAGGUGGGAGGGGCAAUUUCAACCCUUUCUUAGAAAUAGCUGUCUUACUUGUGGUGGUCAUAAUAACAUACACGCAUCAUGAC
rnacentral:lncRNA from 10 species